CCUACGGGAGGCAGCAGUGAGGAAUAUUGGUCAAUGGGCGCGAGCCUGAACCAGCCAAGUAGCGUGAAGGAUGACUGCCCUACGGGUUGUAAACCUCUUUUAUCAAGGAAUAAAGUGAGGCACGUGUGCCUUUUUGUAUGUACUUUAUGAAUAAGGAUCGGCUAACUCCGUGCCAGCAGCCGCGGUAUUACGGAGGAUCCGAGCUUUACCCGGAUUUUUUGGGUUUAAAGGGAGCGUAGAUGGGUUGUUAAGUCAGUUGCGAAAGUUUGCGGCUCAACCGUAAAAUUGCAGUUGACACUGGCAGUCUUGAGUGCAGGUGAGGUAGGCGGAAUGCGUGGUGUAGCGGUGAAAUGCUUAGAUAUCACGAAGAACUCCGAUUGCGAAGGCAGCUUACU
rnacentral:rRNA from 1 species